UAGAGGAGGGUGAAAGAGGUUUUGGUGUACUCUGUGACCGCCUCCAGUGCUUCAUGCCGGUCGGAUGACUGAGCGCUGCUGACGCGAUCGGUGCGGGAGGAGGACAGAGCAGAUGCCAUGUGAAAAAGAGAGUGGGAGGAUAAGUACAAAGUGCACAUGGCCAAGACACCACAAGCACAUGGGAUCCUGAACGUAAUGAAAAGCAAUGAUAAGGCCAGGCCUCAUCAACAAACACAGUUACUGGGGGACAGGGGGGAAGACAGAAAAUCAUACAGGUUGGGAACAACAUGGUGGAUGAAUGUUUGAAAGAAAACUCCGGUUUGGUUUCUCUGCCACCAAGUCUCAAGGCUAUCCCACAGAACUCAGGACUGGAUCCGAGCCAGGCCAUUUUUAAUGACUGAAAUUUGGGAUGAAAUCCAAACAAAGAAAUACAGCCCUGGUGCGGGCCUCCUAAAGUUAUGCAAGUCUAUGAGAGUUACAGCCCAAUAAAAAAAAUUUAAUAAAAUAAUAGUAGAAACUUAUGUAAAGCUCUCAUUAUUGUUGCCAUGCCCAGUGAAGAAGGGAUGUGGAGCUCUUCAACUAGAGCUGAAUUACUGCGUGACGUUUCAUUCAAGGAGGGACAUUUGUGUCCACACAGUUUAAAGCAAGGCACUAAACAGUAAAAUAUGCAAUUAAAUAUUUUACCAGAUCAAAAUCACAAUG